GACGAACGCUGGCGGCGUGCCUAAUACAUGCAAGUCGAACGCAGUGGGGACGGGUGAGUAACACGUGGGUAACCUCCCAUCAGAGGGGAUACCACUUGGAAACAGGUGCUAAACCGAUACUGAUGGAUGGACACGCGGUGCAUUAGCUAGUUGGUGAGGUAACGGCUAACAAAGGCCACGCUGCAUAGCCGACCUGAGAGGGUGUUCGGCCACACUGCGACUGAGACACGGCCCGUACUCCUACGGGAGGCAGCAGUAGGUAAUCUUCGGCAAUGGACGAAAGUCUGACCGAGCAUCGCCGCGUGAGGGAAGAAGUUUUUCGGAUCGUAAAACUCUGUUUGUAGAGAAGGGGUAUCUAACCAGAAAGCCACGGCUAACUACGUGCCAGCAGCCGCGGUAAUAG
rnacentral:rRNA from 1 species